CAGAGGGUAGUUUAUAAAAAAUAAUAACUUUGGGUGUUUUUGAAAGGUUUCUUCUUCUGA
rnacentral:tRNA from 1 species